rnacentral:sRNA from 1 species
UAAUCUAACCCUAACUCACAAGGGGCGUAGUGCUUUUGCUCCCCGUGCGCUGUUUUUCUCGCUGACUUUCAGCGUUCGGAAAAGCCCUGGCCUAUCGCUGUCCACCAUCCUUUUCAAAACAAACAGACAAAAAACAAACAAA